GCAAACUUGGUCAUUUAGAGGAAGUAGAAGCCGUAACAAGGUUUCCGUAGGUGAACCUGCGGAAGAGUCAUCAGCAAAGGUCCGUUCCUAUAAGGAACCGGACCCGCUUUUGACGACAUGUAUUCACGCUUCUGUAAAUUUCGCGUCCUGGACGCGUUAAAGUUGUGAAAGACCACUGGUAUCGGUGGCGCUUUAAUGCAAAACAAAACUUUCAACAACGGAUCUCUUGGCUCUCGCAUCGAUGAAGAACGCAGC
rnacentral:misc_RNA from 1 species